rnacentral:rRNA from 1 species
UACGGAGGGCGCUAGCGUUGUUCGGAAUUACUGGGCGUAAAGCGCACGUAGGCGGCUAUUCAAGUCGGGGGUGAAAGCCCGGGGCUCAACCCCGGAACUGCCCUCGAAACUAGAUAGCUAGAAUCUUGGAGAGGCGAGUGGAAUUCCGAGUGUAGAGGUGAAAUUCGUAGAUAUUCGGAAGAACACCAGUGGCGAAGGCGACUCGCUGGACAAGUAUUGACGCUGAGGUGCGAAAGCGUGGGGAGCAAACAGG